UACGGGGGGGGCAAGCGUUGUUCGGAAUUACUGGGCGUAAAGGGUCUGUAGGUGGCUUGCUAAGUCAGACGUGAAAUCCCUCAGCUUAACUGGGGAACUGCGUCUGAGACUGGCGAGCUUGAGGGCAGGAGAGGAACGCGGAAUUCCCGGUGUAGUGGUGGAAUGCGUAGAUAUCGGGAGGAACACCAGUGGCGAAGGCGGUUGCCUGGAGCUUUGCUGACGCUGAUGCGCGAAAGCGUGGGGAGCGAUCCGG
rnacentral:rRNA from 1 species